CAGUCCAUGGAGUCACAAAGAGUCAGCUAUGACCAAGUGACUUUCCAGUCUAAAUAGGCAGCUUACAAUCACCAACCACAUCAACAAGCCAUGACAUGACUCAGGCAAACUGCUAUCAGCCAGUUACAUCUCCUGUUCUGCUGCAGAAGCGUCUCACAGUUCAGUCACUGUGCGUGUGCCCUCAGGCACGGCUCAGGCAUCUACUCAGAGGAAGAACUUCCCACAUGGGGCUCCCUGGCCUGCUCAGAGCUCUCAUAGCCUCUGUCUGCCUUGGAUCCAUCAUGGCCCAGAAAGUAACUCAAAACCAGUCUGAAAUUCCUGUGCUGGAGAAGGAGGAUGUAACCUUGAACUGUGCAUAUGAAGCUGUUAGUUAUUCUUAUUAUUUAUUCUGGUACAAGCAACCACCAAGUGGGAAAAUGAUUUUCCUUAUUCAUCAGGAGUCUUACAAUGAACUGAAUACAACAAAAGAAUUGGUCUUCCUGAAGCCUGAGAUUACCUGCAGUAUCAUAUUUGGCCUCUAG